rnacentral:rRNA from 1 species
GACUCAACACGGGAAAACUCACCAGGCCCGGACACCUGAAGGAUUGACAGACUAAUAGCUCUUUCUUGAUUAGGUGGGUGGUGGUGCAUGGCCGUUCUUAGUUGGUGGAGCGAUUUGUCUGGUUAAUUCCGGUAACGAACGAGACUCUAGCCUACUAAAUAGGCGCCGUCAUCGCUGUGGCGCGUCGGACCAGCGCCGGCGCGACUCACUGGCGGCGUACUAUAAAAUUCUUCUUAAAGGGACCGGCGGCUUCGAGCCGCACGAGAUAAAGCAAUUACAGGUUUGAGAUGCCCUUAGAUGUCCUGGGCCGCACGCGCGCUACACUGAAGGAAUCAGCAUGUCGUCCCUGGCCGAAAGGCCCGGGUAACCAUCUGAAACUCCUUCGUGCUGGGGAUUGGGGUUUGCAAUUAUCCCCCAUAAACGAGGAAUUCCUAGUAAGCGCGAGUCAUAAGCUCGCGUUGAUUAAGUCCCUGCCCUUUGUACACACCGCCCGUCGCUACUACCGAUUGAACGAUUUAGCGAGGUCUUCGGACGG